UAUAGAUCAGGCCAAGAUUAGUGUGACGCCCCAAGACCGACGCUCCAGAUGCCUUCCAUUUAUUCCGUUAUCGCCAUGUGUUGUUUUUUUGUUGCAAUCUUCAUCGCAUCAUUCGCAUUGCACCGACACUCUUUUGUCAUCAUUUUCCAAACUUGCAUCUGUUCGUCAUUGUCGCGUCUCUCCCUUGUCAUCAUUGGUCACUCUGAGACCAACCACACUUGCAACAUUGUUUUUAGUUUUCUCUCUUGCCUAAACCAGAGUCUUUCUCCAUAGUACACAGACCCCUUCAUGUGCGUGUCUGAAACUCCCCCCGGACCCGAACCGGUCGAACAUGGCCGAUCGGUUGGAUCAUAUGGCUCCAAACCACUCCCCCAAUCUGUCUAUGUUAUAAAUAGCAGACAAAGACCUACCAAUUUUAUCCAAACCUAGAUCCUAGGAACCUGUCUCGUCGCCGCUGCCGCUCAUCCCAAAUCAUCCUCACUUUCCCAGCCAACCAACCAAAUCCACCUUCCCUUCCUCCUGAAGCACUCCACUCCUCUCGAUCCUUGCUCGCCUCGCAAGCCUCGUCGCGGGUCAACCGCACCGUUGCUCAUGGCCUGUACCAACCUCCUCCUCCGCCACCAAGUCCCACCGCCGCCAGUCAUCCUAUCUCCUUCCACCUCCGGAUUGCCCCUGAUCCAAACCCUCCAAUCACCCAUAGCUUCCAGAUCCGUCGCCACCAACCUUCUCCUAGUCUCCCGACCUAGCCACCUGGCUCUCAAUGCCGCCUCCCUCUUCUUGCCGAGCAUCCCCGCUCGAGGAGGAGCCCCGCUCACUCCUAGAUCGAUCCCCGCUCCCCUGCAGCUGAGCUGCUAGACCAGCCGCUCACCAAGAGCUAGCAGCAGCCCCGCUAUCAUCAGGCCAGGACCUCCUUGUCGCUCCUCUUCUCCCACUCCCCCUGUUUUUUCUUGUUGCCCCUGCCUCUCCCUAUGGCCUGAUCUCUUGCCACUGACCGGAACUGACAUGGCCGUCCUAAAGCCCCUGCCCCGAGCACCCCGCAAGAAGUAGCGAUAGUCCCGAACAGCGCCGCCCAUGGCCUUGUCUCUGGCCAGAACGAGUCGUCCCCAACCUCCACCUCGUCGCCCACGCCGCCGCCUUGCUCCGCCCUCGCCGUCCUCCUACCGAUGAGCAGCACUAGCAGGUCUUCCUCACUGCCCCUUCUCCCUUCCCCUUUCUCUUCUUCGGUGAGUCUUCCGCUAUCUCACCCGACCCCCUCUGUCGAUGUUCCCUGUUAUAGCGUCGACCACCUCCACGGGACCUUCUCCGGCCAUCCCUGUUGGUCGGCGGCCUCUCUUGCCCGUUGACUACGCCGCCGGAGCCCUGCCUUGCACCAUCUCCCCGUUGCCUGCGAGCUCGUGCUCGAGCCCUGCUUCUGUGGGCGUCCUCUGCAUUGACCACAUCCUGCUGACCAUGUUAACCCGCGACCUGGGCCGCAGCGUCGCCAGCCGCCUUCGCCAGCCCAGUCAGCCUCCUCUGCUCCGACCGGGCCUCAGCCCAUGGUGAGCCACUGCUGCGGCUACCUUUGCACUAUCGGCCCAAGUGCAGUUUUGGCCCAUUCUGUCUUUUUUCUGUCCAGCGAUUUUAGUAAUUAUCCAGAGAAAACUUGCGUUACAGAAAAAAACCCUCCAUGUUCAUGCAUUAAUAACUCAUAAUCCGUGCAUUGUAAUUAAACAAACUUUAUAUGUAAAAUGCUUAGAAUUUCAUGUACUUUCAUAAUUUGCAACUUUCGUCCAUGUUAAAAAUGUUAAAAAUUGAUUUGCAUUAAUUUGCAUCAAUGAGAUGUUGAAAUGGUUUAUUUCAUAACUAAAUAAUCAUAGCUUCGAAUUAAAUAAACUUUAUAUGUAAAUGGGUUAGAAAAGUGCAUAGUUUAACAUGGUGGCAUUACUUUGCAUGUUUAACAACUCUAAAAUUAUGUAUAGGGUAGAACAAUACCAAAUUUGAAAUAUGCAUGUGGGGAUUUUCCAUAAUUGUAGUUUGUUAUUUUUGGCCUCAUUUAAACUUGCCUAAAUAGUUAGUUUAGUUAUGCUUCACGUCUUGCCAUGUUAACCAAUAUUUAAGCUUGUCUUUUUCAUAAACGAGAGCGCACUAAAUAAUUCGCAUGUGGUGUUUCGUCAAUAUGUAACUCAUUGCAUAUUGAGCUCCACUUAAUUUGUAGUAUUGUUUGUUGCACUUUGCCAUUCCAUGACUCAUUAAACCGGACAUCCAUCAUACUUGAUUGUGCAUCAUGCCAUGAUUAUGCUUGUUGGUUUACCACGUUGUUUCUUCUUUCUAGUGUUGCUUCUUCUUGAUAGUUCCGGUAACGUUGCGAUUGUGAGGAUUAAUUCGACUAUGUUGAUUCGUCUACAUCAUGGAUUCAGUCUUCUUCCUAGUGGGAUUUCAGGAAAGAUGACCAUUACCUUCAAUACCGCUACUAUCUUUGCUUGCUAGUUAUCUCGAUGCUAUCGCUAUGUCGCGCUACCUACCACUUGUUUAUCAAGACUCCCAAAGUGUCAUGAUAAGCCUCUAACCUUUCUACCAUCCCAGCAAACCGUUGUUUGGCUAUGUUACCACUUUGCUUAGCCCCUCUUAUAGCGUUGCUAGUUGCAGGUGCAGUUUGAGGUUGUUCCAUGUUGGGACAUGGAUAUCAUGGGAUAUCACAAUAUCUGUUAUUUAAUUAAUGCAUCUAUUUAGAAUCAUUAUAACUAUGCAACUUUCGAGCCCUCCCAGACCAUCAACGUUCAGAGUCGUCGGAUCGUCACUUGUUACCAUUUUCGGCCGUCAGAUUGGCCUGGGAUCGCAUGCACGCUCGCCUCGUUCGCUACAGUUGAGCGCUAAUCGUCCUGGGUCGCUUCUCCGGUCACUUUUUUGGGCCUCUGUCGUCAAAUUGGCCUUAAUGGGCUUCUAGCAGCCUCCCAUCCGUGCAGGUGCAGCUGAAGGGAAAAUUAAUAAAGCUUCGUGAGGUUGUCUAAAAAAAUCAAGGGAAAAAAGUUGUCUAAAAAAAGCUGAAGGGAAAAAAAAUACAUGACUCGCAACCCUCGUUUGGUUCACAAUCACAAGGUCGCAGCCUUCCUCAUUCGCGUGGCGGCUCCUCGGUCUUCGCGACCAUGUUGGGCUCCGAUCAAUGCGGGAGAGACGACUCCCAUGGCCACCGCGCUGUGAUCUGACCGACGCGAUGAACGGCCUUGACGGGCGAUGGCACGGUGUCCGCUCGGUCGCACUUGCACAGCGCGACGGGACAAUGCAGUAACGACGAAUAGUAGUAUGUCGAUUGGAGUUCUAUCGCCAGUGAUUGAUUGAUUGGUUAAUGGCCAUAAACACAGGUCAGUUUCGUUUGUCCAUUCAUAUUUAUCUUUAAGUCACAGGCGCCCAUAUAAUCCCAACCUGGCAGCUGCUCCUUCCUGCUCCUUCCCCAAACCAUUCUGCGACAGAGAUUGGUGAUGCUUAGGUCUCUAAGUUAUUCUAAUCCCCCCUCCUUCCUACCCCCCCCCCCCCCCCCCCCCCCGCCCCCUCUUCCCCCAAUUCUUCAUCCAUUUUCAAAAUUUGUUUCAUUGAUGUUGUUCUUUCUAUUCACAAACAACGCAGGUACGUUCUGGUAGGUUAGCUCAUUAUGCUGGAUUAAACGGUUUAGGGAUUACCCAUUUAGAAUAUGAUGUGCUGAUUUUAAAUUCAAUGUUUUUGUCGAAUUUUUGCUAUAAUAGUUUAGAGACAUCUACAGAUUAUCCCUUGCUGCUCGCAUUAUUCUUUGACCAAGUGCAGAGUGCACUUAGGGAUCUCUAGAGGACGGAUUUCUCCCCGCAAAAAAGGAAAGAGAAAAAAAAUGGAUUUCUUUCUUUCUUGCAGCUGAAUCUACCAAUAUCCAGUGGUCAACGGACAGGUUAGUAUGAGUAUCCUCAUAUGCUGUUAUGCCUCAUUUAACUUGUGCCCCAUCUAACUAUCUAUGCAUAUUAUAUUUACCUUUCUAUUCGUACAAUAUGAUGCCACUCUCUAUGAUUGAUUGAAAUAAUUGCAGUACUGCCUGUUGUUUUUGCCCUAUAUAUGUAGCAGGUUAGUUAGCAGGUUAAAAAUGCACAAACGAAACAGGAAUAUUGUUCAAGGUGCUGAUGCCUCCACAUCACAUUCUGGAUAUGAACACAUUAUGCCUAUCAGAUCACUUUCACAAAACUUCUUAUGCAGCAGAAUAAGCCAACCUAGUGAAACCGAAGUUCACUCGAUUAAUCCAGAGAACCUGCUUUAAUUUUGGGGGUGCAAAGAAUAGCAUCACUAAAGAAAAAAAAUCUAUAACUCGAUGCAGAGUUGGGGAAAGAGGGUAGGUAGGAAGGAGGGGACACUUGGAGAAGGGGGGAAGAUGAAUGUCAACCAUGCCCACCGGUGAAGGAUCUGCGGAAGUAUGGAGGGGAAUGGGGAAGGAGAACUGGAUGAUGGAGCCCAUGCUACCUGUAUGUGUAAUUCUACUGGUUUUAGUGCGUCUAACAUAUUCUUUAUCCUGCCAUUCAUUUAACAAAUUGCACAGCACGAAAAAUGAGUUCCUUAUCUCAGCCUAUAAUGUUCUUUUCCUGCAAUUUGAUGUCAAUAAAUCCAUUUUGACGCUUGCCCUGCUGAAAGUUACACCAUGAAAUAUAGAGGAUUUUAAUUGUGUCAGUAAGUUGUCAGAUUAUUAAACUUAUAAAGUUUUUUCUAUUAUUAUGCAUCUAUACAUGGGUACCUUGUGAAUUUAUGGUCGGAGCUGAGAGGAAGCUGAAAAUAGUAAACAAGUCAGCACAGGUUGGUUUUGAUGCAUUGCUUGCCAAUUUGAUACAUAUCGACAUACAGUACCAUGCUUGCUAUAUCGCACUGAUGGUCGAGCCCGGCCAUUGAAGCCCGACGACAGUGACAAUGGGAAGGAAAAUUUUUGGUUAGUCGGCCCUUCGUUAAUUUAUUCUAUGUGAUAAUAUUAGUCCGCACUAGGAUUUAGGCUGCAGUAAUUUCUUGAUAUAGAUGGAAUUAGCUAGGGGCAGCAAUCUCUUAUUUUAUCCUCACAAAAUGAUACCAGAAAUUAGACAUGCCAUGCUGAUUCUAUCAUUUCGAUUAAAUUUGUAACAGAUUGUGUUUGUGUUUGUGUAGUUAUGAAGAGUAAAAACAACGUAUAGAUUUUACAAGAUAGUUGGAUCAAGUAAAAAAAUGAAGGACCACAACAAACUAUUAAAAACAUUCAACAUAUUUGCUAUGUAUUAAUAAAUCUUUGUCUCAUAACAGUCCCUUUGGUUACUACAUACUUGUCCAUAGGACUAUAGCAGUCUUUGUUUCAUACGAUUCCACCAUUGUUGUCCUCUACAACAAGAAAAGAAAGUUUUCUACGAUGUCUUUGGCUCUUCCUAUACAAAAUUCUAAUACAACUAUGCGCUUGCUGAAGAAGUAAAAUAUAAAUUUGUUUAUCUCUGGACCCAUAUGAUUUAUUAUUGGGACAAAUAGCAUAAGCAUAUUAACUAAUGGUAAUGUUACUCAGACUUAUAUGUUACUAAAAUGAUGCACACUUACCUUAUUUGGCCUGAUUUGUUCUUUUUUGUGAAUUUUUGAAUUUUUGAAUUAUUGAUUUAUAGUUUUAGUUGUGUAUUAGCAUCUAAGAUGGAAUCAAAAUAAAUUAAAUAAAGAAAAAUAUUUUUCUCAGUCUCGUGUGCUAUAUUCCCGAACUCUCUCACCCAUGCAGGUGGAUUUUACAAGUUUUCAUUCUGCUUGAUAGCACUGCAGUGCCAUAAUUUGAGACAUGCAUAGAAGGCCCUGUCUUCUUAGAUGGACUAUAUGUUUAUAUGCUCAUAGUUAGUGUAAUGUAUUGUAGUGAUCCGCAUGUUACGCAAAUUCAUGUCAAUAUUCAAGGAUACAUUGCACUUUUUUCUAACUGAAAUGUGAACUGAUCAUAUGACUGAUAUAUGCUAUUAGGAGGUAUAUAUAAAUCCUCACAUAUUUUUUGAUUCUGUAAUGUUAUUACUUCCAUUUUUGUUAUUUAUGUUUCUUCCGUGCGCCUAGCUAUGUAUAAUAUCUAAUUUUAACAAAUGUGAUGCUCGCCUGCAACACGUAGCAACAAUUACAACAUGCUAUUUAUGACCAUCAUCGCUAUGUGCUUCUGUGUUGCUAAGCUAUUUUGUUUCCAGAAAUUUUCACGGCGAUGCGACUUAGGGUGAUCAUGAAGUAACCAUAAGUUCCAGAUCUUCAGAAAAAGAUGAUCCAUUAGAUUUUCGUAGUUAACUAAUUAACAUAGCUGUUAUGCCAUUUUACCGUUCUGACAUCAAGAGUGUACAUACCCAUAUCAUGGUGAUUGGUAAAAACAAGUUACCCUUCUACUUAAGAUUUGUGGUUACUUU